GACGAACGCUGGCGGCGUGCUUAACACAUGCAAGUCGAACGGAAAGGCCCUGCUUGCAGGGUGCUCGAGUGGCGAACGGGUGAGUAACACGUGGGUGAUCUGCCCCUUACUUUGGGAUAAGCCUGGGAAACUGGGUCUAAUACUGGAUAGGACCAUGCUGUAGGUGGUGUGUGGAAAGAUUAGUUUCGGUAAGGGAUGAGCUCGCGGCCUAUCAGCUUGUUGGUGGGGUAAUGGCCUACCAAGGCGUCGACGGGGAGCCGGCCUGAGAGGGUGGACGGCCACAUUGGGACUGAGAUACGGCCCAGACUCCUACGGGAGGCAGCAGUGGGGAAUAUUGCACAAUGGGCGCAAGCCUGAUGCAGCGACGCCGCGUGGGGGAUGACGGCCUUCGGGUUGUAAACUCCUUUCAGCCAUGACGAAGCCCUUGUGGUGACGGUAGUGGUAGAAGAAGCACCGGCUAACUACGUG
rnacentral:rRNA from 1 species